UUUCCGUAGGUGAACCUGCGGAAGGAUCAUUACUGAGUGAGGGCCCCUCGGGGUCCAACCUCCCACCCGUGUUUAACGAACCUUGUUGCUUCGGCGGGCCCGCCUCACGGCCGCCGGGGGGCAUCUGCCCCCGGGCCCGCGCCCGCCGAAGCCACCUGUGAACGCUGUCUGAAGUAUGCAGUCUGAGACAAUUAUUAAAUUAGUUAAAACUUUUAACAACGGAUCUCUUGGUUCCG
rnacentral:misc_RNA from 1 species